UUGAUUGAAACCAAAGAGAGGUGUAUCACUGUUAAUGAUAAUAUUGAAAUUUUAUUUCCAAUCAAG
rnacentral:tRNA from 1 species